GCUGGGAUUUGGAACUCGGUGGGGAUUCUUCUUGGGGCAGCUCACAGUGUGUCAGCCCUGACUUGUGCGCUCGAUGAGACGGGAAGGUCCGGAGAGCUAAGUUACAAGACCCUCCCCACUUCCUCCUUCCCUCACUCGCGCUGUUUAUGGCUAAUUGUACGUUUCUUUGGACUGGGCACUCUGCUGGGCACAGGGAUUAGGACCCGAACUAGGGAGAUACAGACACGAAAAUGGACAGAAACUGUGGCUCCAUCUAGGAUUGGAGAGAACAGAAAAUGACUUCUCGAAUGACAACAAAGGUGCUUUACAAUCUAUUCAUAGUACCCACCUCUUCUCCAUCCCUGAUGGCUCACUUUAUGGGAACAGAGAGUGAACAGCAGGACAACUGAAGUCCUGCUCCCCCAAAAGGUCAUAAGAGGAACACCUGGCACUAAAAUGCUUUGUAAUGAUUAACACUGGC